rnacentral:misc_RNA from 1 species
AAGUCGUAACAAGGUUUCCGUAGGUGAACCUGCGGAAGGAUCAUUAGCACGUUUUCUUUCCUUUCACAAGGAAAUGAAAUCGUAUCAACCUUGCACCGUGAACUGUUUUGUCAAGGCUCGACGUGGUCUGCAUCUAAAUCUGGAAGUGCUAGGCAGUAAGGGGUUGUUUUCUUGAAGGGGGGGUUGCUCUGAUCCGCUUUCACGAGCGAAUUGGACGUCUUUUUUUUCGAGCGAACAAUCUUAUGCCUCCAGAAUAUGACCUCUCUUACGUGGACGAGAGAGGGUGCGCGCGUCUUGCUCAAUUACUGUGUUUUUUUUACUUCUUAUUAACGCUUUGUACUAAAAGUUUUGAUUGUUAUCAAUUUCCCUUUUAAAGGAAAAUCAUGAACAACUCUUAACAACGGAUAUCUUGGUUCUC